UUUUGGGGUCAGUUUUGGGGUUGGUUUGGAGAGGUUUGGGGUCACUUAGGGGUCCCUGAUGUUGUUUUGGGGGCCAUUUGGGGUUGGUUUGGAGGGGAUUUGGGGCCAUUUUGGUGGGUUUUGGGGUCACUUAGGGGUCCCUGAUGUCAGUUUUGGGGUUGUUUUGGUGGCUUUUGGGGUCUAUAUGGUGGGUUUUGGGGUCACUUGGGGGCAUUUGAGGUUGUUUGGGGGGGAUUUGGGGUCAUUUUGGGGGGUUUUAGGGUCAGUUUGGUGGGUUUUGGGGUCACUUGUGGGUUUUUGGGGUCAGUUUUGGGGUCGUUUUGGUGGGUUUUGGGGUCAUUUUGUGGGUUUUGGGGUCGUUUUAGUGGUUUUUGGGGUCACUUGGGGGCAUUUGAGGUUGUUUGGGGGGGGGUUGGGGUCGUUUUGGUGGGAUUUGGGGUCAGUUUUGGGGUCGUUUGGUGGGUUUUGGGGUCUCUUGGGGGUCCCUGAUGUCAGUUUUGAGGUCAUAUUGGUGGGUUUUGGGGUCACUUGGGGGCAUUUGAGGUUGUUUGGGGUGGUUUGGAGGGGAUUUGGGGCCAUUUGGGGUUGCUUUGGAGGGGAUUUGGGGUCGUUUUGGUGGGUUUUGGGUCAGUUUUGGGGUCAUUUUGGUGGGUUUUGGGGUCACUUGGGGGUCCAUCAUGUUGAUUUGGGGUCAUUUUGGUGGGUUUUGGGGUCACUUAGGGGUCCCUGAUGUCAGUUUUGGGGUCGUUUUGGUGGGUUUGGAGGUCACUUGGGGGUCCCUGAUGUUUUUGGGGUCAUUUUGGGUCAUUUUGGUGGGUUUUGGGGUCACUCAGGGGUCCCUGAUGUUGGUUUUGGGGGCAUUUUGGUGGGUUUUGGAGUCAUUUUGGUGGGUUUUGGGGUCACUUGGGGGUCCCUGAUGUGGGUUUUGGGGUCGUUUUGGUGGGUUUUGGGGUCACUUGGGGGUCCAUCAUAUUGAUUUGGGGCCAUUUGGGGUUGCUUUGGAGGGGAUUUGGGGUCAUUUUGGUGGGUUUUGGGGUCACUUAGGGGUCCCUGAUGUUGUUUUUGGGGGAUUUGGGGUCAUUUUUUAUAGUGUCAGUGGUUCUGGAUGGUUUGGGACCCCAAUCCCACACUAAUCGGGGCCAUUUGAGGCUCCUAAAAUCCCUUAUUCCAACCCCAAAAGUGGCCUUUUUUAAAAGCCCCAAAAUCACAGUUUUUCUCCCCAAAACCUGCAGGUUGCUCAGCAUCUCCCAUUGAAGGAGGGCAGCACUGAGGUGCCGCUGUUCCGUGUUGGUUGGUCCGUCGACUUCUCUCGUUCCCAACUGGGUAAGAAAAGCCCAAAUCUUCACUUUUUUACCCCAAAAAUGGGACCCCCCCACCCCAAAAGGGAGAAACUUCAACCUACAUCUAUUGGCCCCAUAUAUAGGAUGGGUAUGGUACCAUAAAACCAGCCUUGGGGACACUAAAAUGUUCCCAACUGAGUAAGGAAACCACCCCCAAAUCCCACUUUUUUACCCCAAAAAUGGGACCCCCCCACCCCAAAAGGGAGAAUCCCCAACCUACAUCUAUUGAACCCAUAUAUAGGAUGGGUUUGGUACCACAAAACCAACCCUGUGACCCCAAAAUGUUCCCAACUGAGUAAGAAAACCCCCAAAUCCCCCAUUUUUUACCCCAAAAAUGUGACCCCCCCCACCCCAAAAGCAGGAAACCCCAACCCACAUCUAUUAAACCCA
ensembl:lncRNA